rnacentral:rRNA from 1 species
GACGAACGCUGGCGGCGUGCUUAACACAUGCAAGUCGAACGGAAAGGCCCUGCUUUUGUGGGGUGCUCGAGUGGCGAACGGGUGAGUAACACGUGAGUAACCUGCCCUUGACUUUGGGAUAACUUCAGGAAACUGGGGCUAAUACCGGAUAGGAGCUCCUGCUGCAUGGUGGGGGUUGGAAAGUUUCGGCGGUUGGGGACGGACUCGCGGCUUAUCAGCUUGUUGGUGGGGUAGUGGCUUACCAAGGCUUUGACGGGUAGCCGGCCUGAGAGGGUGACCGGCCACAUUGGGACUGAGAUACGGCCCAGACGCCUACGGGAGGCAGCAGUGGGGAAUAUUGCACAAUGGGCGGAAGCCUGAUGCAGCAACGCCGCGUGCGGGAUGACGGCCUUCGGGUUGUAAACCGCUUUCGCCUGUGACGAAGCGUGAGUGACGGUAAUGGGUAAAGAAGCACCGGCUAACUACGU